rnacentral:rRNA from 1 species
UACGAAGGGGGCUAGCGUUGCUCGGAAUCACUGGGCGUAAAGCGCACGUAGGCGGCUUUUUAAGUCAGGGGUGAAAUCCUGGAGCUCAACUCCAGAACUGCCUUUGAUACUGGGAAGCUUGAGUACGGAAGAGGCGAGUGGAAUUCCUGGUGUAGCGGUGAAAUGCGCAGAUAUCAGGAGGAACACCGGUGGCGAAGGCGGCAUCCUGGACCAACACUGACGCUGAGGCGCGAAAGCGUGGGGAGCGAACAGG